rnacentral:misc_RNA from 1 species
AGCGAAACUUCGAGUUUGAGCGGCACCUUAAGUACAUUGAUAAGUUCAAAAUUGUACUGAAUUAUGUAUAUAUAUAUAUUGUAUAGCUUAACUCGCCUGAUUGGCUGUGUAAAAAGUCACAUCUUUUUUAUAUAUACUCUUUUUUUCAUCUUUCAUAUUAAUAUGCCUAUGUAUUUACCUCGCGGCUUGUCGAUCGCUCAAAAAUUUGUUAUCCAUCGUUAACUUUUGUUCAAUACAAUGGAGUGUAAAAAUGAUUUAGUAACAGUUGAAGACAGUGGUGAUAAAAUAAACAAAUCAGCUCGAAUAUCGACUAUUGAUGUGCCAGUGGUAAUAUCAAAACCAAAGAGCAAUGCACAGAAAUGUAAAGAAUAUCGUGAGAAAAAAAAACUAAAAACUGCAAAAGAAAAAAAUCUGUCAAAAGCAAGGCACAGAUAAACAAAACUUAUUAUGAGAAAAACAAAAUUUCAAACAAAAGUCGUCAUGAGUACAUGAAAGAAUAUAGACAGAAGAAAAAAUUUGAAAAACAAAUUCUUCAUUUAAAGCAAAUACUACAACUACAAAUGGAGCUUAAGCUACAGCAAUCAGUCUCCUAAAACAUUGCGUUGGUUGAAAUAAGUCUGUUACAAACGAAAGUAACAUUUGCUUACUAUGCGAGACACAGCUGAACAAUAAAAAUGCAUGUGAUAUACCUAAUUUCAAAUAUAUUACUCAUUUAAAACGUGAUUCAGUUCGUGCAGGUGGAAUAUAUCAAAAUACAAGCAAUCUAAUUACACCAAAUAAGGAUGAAAAUCAUGAAUAAUAUGCUGGAUAUGCACGUAAGAAGAAUAAGUACUGCAGUUAUAGUUAUAUAUGUUGUGCAGUGCGUAAUGGAUAAUGUUUUUUUCAUCAUGGCGGUUAUCUACGUAUCACCGUGUCAGAAAUUAUGAGACAUUCAAGAGUUUCAUUCAGCUCUAUUACAAUAUUAUGAGGAUGGAUGUCAUAUAUUUAGCGGACAAUAAAAAUUAUCAUAUAUGGAAUUUCAUAAUUCCACUUAUCUUCUCUAGAGAUUUUAACAUAAAUUUCUCAUCUUCUAAAUCUUCAGAGCAACUAAUACAAUUUUUAGAAGAAGAAUUGUACUUAAAAAUUAAUAAUAAUAAAACACAAUCUACAACGAGAAACAAAAACCACCGUCGAUGCCAUCUUUUCUAGAAACUUAGAUAAAAUUAGAUCUCAUGUGUCAUAUUUUAGUUACUACAAACCAAUUAUAACUGUGAUUAAAAAUGAUGAUUAAAUAUA